UGCAGUCGAGCGAACAGACGAGGAGCUUGCUCCUUUGACGUUAGCGGCGGACGGGUGAGUAACACGUGGGUAACCUACCUAUAAGACUGGGAUAACUUCGGGAAACCGGAGCUAAUACCGGAUAAUAUUUCGAACCGCAUGGUUCGAUAGUGAAAGAUGGCUCUGCUAUCACUUAUAGAUGGACCUGCGCCGUAUUAGCUAGUUGGUAAGGUAACGGCUUACCAAGGCAACGAUACGUAGCCGACCUGAGAGGGUGAUCGGCCACACUGGAACUGAGACACGGUCCAGACUCCUACGGGAGGCAGCAGUAGGGAAUCUUCCGCAAUGGGCGAAAGCCUGACGGAGCAACGCCGCGUGAGUGAUGAAGGUCUUCGGAUCGUAAAACUCUGUUAUUAGGGAAGAACAAACGUGUAAGUAACUGUGCACGUCUUGACGGUACCUAAUCAGAAAGCCACGGCUAACUACGUGCCAGCAGCCGCGGUAAUACGUAGGUGGCAAGCGUUAUCCGGAAUUAUUGGGCGUAAAGCGCGCGUAGGCGGUUUUUUAAGUCUGAUGUGAAAGCCCACGGCUCAACCGUGGAGGGUCAUUGGAAACUGGAAAACUUGAGUGCAGAAGAGGAAAGUGGAAUUCCAUGUGUAGCGGUGAAAUGCGCAGAGAUAUGGAGGAACACCAGUGGCGAACGCGACUUUCUGGUCUGUAACUGACGCUGAUGUGCGAAAGCGUGGGGAUCAAACAGGAUU
rnacentral:rRNA from 1 species